rnacentral:rRNA from 1 species
AUAUUACUAAGCGGAGGAGAAGAAAUUAACAAAGAUUGCCUUAGUAAGGGCGACUGAACCGGCAAAAGCUCGAAAUUGGAAUCGGGGAUUCAAAGAAUCUCUGAAUUGUAAUCAGGUCCGCCGAAAUACGGGAGAGCGCUUAAGCAUGUCGAAACGUGCGCCGAGGAGGGUGAAAGCCCCGUGUAGCGUUCUCCCGAAACAGGGGGAUUCUACAAGAGUCGGGUUGCUUGGAACUGCAGCCCUAAGUGGGAGAUAUGAAUCUUCCAAAGCUAAAUAUGGAUGGGAGACCGAUAGCGCACAAGUA